rnacentral:ncRNA from 1 species
AAAAAAACCCUGUAGACAUAAGCUACAGGGCCCUUCUAUAUCCCUUUUAAAGGAUAGAAGGCAAAGGGAGAGGAGAAACCGGAGGAAGAACUUAUGGGGAAACGUAAGUCUUCUCCGCG